CGGUGAAGGGUUGGGAUGAGGAACCCAUGUGGAAGCAGAUGAUGCAUUGGCACCAGAACUUGAGCCACCUCGAUAUGUAGAAGCAACAUUUCCAGGAACACUUGCAUUUCCUGUGCCUAAACCUCGAUUUACUGGAUUCCUCACCAUAGGUCUCAAUUCCGGUGCAGGAACAAACAUAGGAUGAUCUAAUAGGUUUCUAGCAAUGCUUCUUGAUUGAGGCCCCUCACAUGGUACAAAAUCUCUAACCACAGAUAAAUUGGAACUUGAACUGCCGACUCUUGAACCAGAACCUCCAUUCCACCUAAAUGGUUGCAUAUUUCUCGGCAAAG
rnacentral:lncRNA from 1 species